rnacentral:rRNA from 1 species
AUACGUAGGGUGCGAGCGUUGUCCGGAAUUACUGGGCGUAAAGAGCUCGUAGGUGGUUUGUCGCGUCGUCUGUGAAAUUCCGGGGCUUAACUCCGGGCGUGCAGGCGAUACGGGCAUAACUGGAGUACUGUAGGGGAGACUGGAAUUCCUGGUGUAGCGGUGAAAUGCGCAGAUAUCAGGAGGAACACCGGUGGCGAAGGCGGGUCUCUGGGCAGUAACUGACGCUGAGGAGCGAAAGCAUGGGUAGCGAACAGGAUUAGAUACCCUGGUAGUCCAUGCCGUAAACGGUGGGCGCUAGGUGUAGGGGUCUUCCACGACUUCUGUGCCGUAGCUAACGCAUUAAGCGCCCCGCCUGGGGAGUACGGCCGCAAGGCUAAAACUCAAAGGAAUUGACGGGG